ensembl:lncRNA
GUUCUUGUUCUAUGUCUGCAAUCAAGCGAUCCUGGGAAGAGGAUCUUGGAAUCUGUGUUGCUGAAGCUGACUGGGGCAAUGUUUUAAGUAAUAUUCACUCGUCCUCCAUGUGUGCAAGACAUUGGCUUCUGCAGUUUAAAAUAGUGCACAGGUUCAUCUUAGCAAAUCAAAACUGGCAAAGAUGUAUCCCCAGAUUGACCCAACGUGCGAAAGAUGUAAAUUGGCAGAGGCGACCUUGAUCCAUAUGUUUUGGUCCUGUCCCAAAAUACAAACUUUCUGGACGGAUGUCUGUGGGGCUUUGUCAUGCAUAUUUGGAAUGAGAGUGUCACUCAAUCCACUUUUAUUUUUAUUUGGGGUCAACUCCGAUGGUCUGGCACUACCAGCAGGUGGUCAAAGAAUUAUUGUCUUCUCUACACUAUUGGCAAGACGUCUAAUACUUUUGAAGUGGAAGGACGCAGCCCCGCCCACAGUUUCUCAUUGGGUUAAGGAUGUAUUAUUUCAUCUUAAAUGAGAGAAAAUUAGGUUCGUUUAGAGAGGCUCUGUAAAUAAAUUUAACAAAGUCUGGAAACCCUUUUUGAUAUUUUUUGACCAACCUGUGUUUUGACCAACACAGGUUCAGGAAUGACCUUUAUUUAUUUAUUUAUUUAUUUAUUUAUCUAUUUUUAAUUAUAUUUGUUUGCUUAUUUUUUCUUUCUUCUUAUUCUGUAUACCUUGGCUGGUGUUAUUUUGCAUUGUAUGUUUUUCCUUUUAAACUUUUGAUUACUUGACAGCGAACAGGGGUGUUGUUUGUUAGGGUGGGUUUUUAUUUUUAUUUUUUCCCCUCUUUUACUUUUAUUUGAUGCUUUGUAUUUUUGUAUUUCAUUGUGGAAAAUAAUAAAUAUAUUAAACACUAAAAGCAUAACAGAACUAAACUGAAACAUAGUCUUUAGCAGAAUGCUUGAUUGGAUACUGUAUGAACUGAUGCUCUAACUGUAGCUGUUCAGUGACUCGGGUUCAAUAAGACAUUACACUGUAAAAUCUUUGGGCAGUACUGUAUGUGUUAUGCCUGAAGAUUAGUGAUGUGCCAUACCACUGAUCUCCUUUCUGAUCCGAUACCGAGUAAAAUUCAGGGUGGUAUCGAUGACAUUGAUCCGAUACCGAUACUUUGUGCAAAAACUUAAUGUGUUAUUGUAUUUCAGAUUAUAGCUUCGUAAUGAUUGCAGGACAUCAGACUGCUUGUUCUUAUUGUUUAAUUAUGAAGAAUUAUCAUAUAGAAAUAAAGAACCUGAAGCUGUGUGUCGAUGCUAUUUGAACACACAUAUGUUGUCAUUUAACAUGUAGAUACUUACCUGGACGCUUCACCAAAAACCUUCAACAUUCACACUUUCCCUCGUUCACAGCAGUGCUGUGCAGUGUUGGUCAAGUUACUUGAAAAAAGUAAUCAGUAACUAAUUACUGAUUACUUCCCCAAAAAAGUAAUCCAGUUACUUUACUGAUUACUUAUUUUCAAAGGUAAUUAAUUACUUAGUUACUUAGUUACUUUUUAAAAACAUGAUUUACAACCUGAAGAGGUGAUAAAGCGAUAGAUCUCUCAGCCCAAUUCUACUUUUUCUGCAUAAUCCAUCAUACAAAAUGUAAUCAAAUGGAAAAGUCUCUUUUUAAAACUUGUUUUAUUAGUUUUAAUCUUUUAACUUUAUGCAUCAAGCAAACAUUUAAUUAUCU